GGAUGUGAGGGCGAUCUGGCUGCGACAUCUGUCACCCCAUUGAUCGCCAGGGUUGAUUCGGCUGAUCUGGCUGGCUAGGCGGGUGUCCCCUUCCUCCCUCACCGCUCCAUGUGCGUCCCUCCCGAAGCUGCGCGCUCGGUCGAAGAGGACAACCAUCCCCGAUAGAGGAGGACCGUUCUUCGGUCAAGGGUAUACGAGUAGCUGCGCUCCCCUGCUAGAACCUCCAAACAAGCUCUCAAGAGUCUACUGUGUCCAAGUUUUAAAAGCAGCAAGAAAUAAUUUACUAGACUGUCUCAACUCCUAAGUGUGCCAAUUUUGCAAUCUGCAUUUUU
rnacentral:snRNA from 1 species